rnacentral:lncRNA from 1 species
GGCCUUUUGUGAUCAUAGAAAAAGUCUUAGAUCUUUGAGUUCAGCUCAUGAUAAAAGGGGGCAAAAACAAAAGUUGUUCAGUGUAUUUGCAAAGCUAGCAUAGCAUACAACUAGAAUGGGCAGAAACAUUGUUGAAAGACAAUUACAAACAAGUUCAACUUUUGAACAGGGAGUGUAAAAGAAACCAAAGAAUUAGAAACCUACAUAGGACUCUUUGGGGAUUUUGGAAUUUGCACUGUGCAAUCAAUGAAAGACCACUUUCACGGAAGUUCGGAAGCACAGCGUGUGAAGUAAAUAUCCACCUCCUUCAUCACUCAAAGAACUGGAGGCUUUUCUUCUUGACUAAUGGGGUUCCAUCUGCCUGGAACUGAAAGAUGAGAGAGACCGGCAUCAGUUUCCACCGGCUAAUACGACGCAACACAACGAGCUGGCCCAAAGCACGUCAGCUGUAGCCAAUGUAUCACAUUAGUAGCAGACUUAAUGCUAUGAGAUGUAACUGCGUGGCUAAAAGAACAGUGCAUCACCAGGCAGACAAGGCCAGCUUCCAUUAGGCCCUAGCCAUUUCUUCUCUGUUAAUCUUUGAUGGGACUGUCAUGUGAGGAUAAAUGCCAAACAGCUCUACCUCUUUCACUGGGUCUUUGAUUUGUGACCUGAAUGCACUUAAUCUCAAUGGCAUUAUAGAUUUAUACCUAUUUUUAUGUAGAGAAUCAC